rnacentral:rRNA from 1 species
AUCUAAGGUCAUAUCGCCCUGAAUGCACCCAAUCUUGUCUGAUCUCAGAAGCUAAGUAGUGUCAGUCCUGGUUAGUACUUAGCUGGAAGACAGAUCUUCGGAAGAGACUGCUCAGAGACAAGCAAUUUGGAGA